UCAGAAGACAGAGGAAGACAUUUCCCUGGGACACUCUCAUGGAUGAUCACGCAGCUCUAUAUUGCGGAAUAAUCGAAGCUCCCAAAGGCAUCGGCGAUCUCUUUUCUUAUUGCCAAGGAACCCUCGGAGGGAGGUGUUAGAAGUAGAUGUUCAUAACAGGGUCCAUCGUCGGAAAGUCCAACAUCCUCCGCAUCUCGAAGAUCACGAUGCCCAGAGACCACCAAUCUGCAGAUCUUGAAUACGGCAGCCUGGAGAGGACUUCGGGAGCCAUGUAGUCAUAGGUUCCAGUCAGGCUGCGUGUUCUGUCCCCAUAGCCAAUUCCUGCAAAAACAGUAACUGUAAGUAAACUGGAAACCAGUGGGGCUUAUUUAUCAGUAGCGGCUCAGACUCAAAGUACAAGAAAGGAACAGUUCAGUUUGUUUUCUUUUCAUCCUGAGCUGCAUGAUCAGCAAACAAACUGAACAGUUAGGUCCCAUGUGGCCCCCCUUUCUAACUGACUAACAGGUUAGAGAGAUGCAAAAAUAUAAGGUUUUUAUUACAUUAGACGUCUUUCUAUAGAUUACAUUCUAGGGUAACUCCGAUCUAUGUUCUCACUAAAUAUUAAGUGAUACAAAUCAAUUGCCUAACAAUUGGCACCCUCUAGUAAUUCACCUUUCCUUCUCCUUUAAUCUGAUCUGCUAAAGCAUAACUCUUUAGGUGAAUUUCACUCUUGCGUUCUCAUAAUAUGAAACUACAAAUGUCAGUCACUUAGUGAGUCUCAAAAACAUAACACGAAGCGCAACCCUUUUUUGACAUGUAAGUUUAUGAGAAACCUUACCGUCUUUGCAUAGUCCGAAAUCAGCCAGUUUGAUGUACCCGUUGCUGUCUAAGAGCAGGUUUUCCGGCUUGAGAUCUCUGUUAAUACAACGGCAAAUGUUAGAAAAGUACAAGUUCACUGGCACACAAAAGGGGAAAUAAUUAGUGAUUAUAUAGUGAAUAACAACCUUUUUUAAACUUUAAGUCACUGAGGAGAUUCUUGACCAUAUAAAGGCACAAGGCUGAAGUUGUCAUGCUCUUGUGGAGCAAGCUCUAUAGGGGACAUUAAUCGUGGCUUCUUAAAAGUUUAGCAGUAAUAUUCUCUUAUAUUUUAUAUUGCAAAUGUUUUCAUAUACUUAAAAAAAGUAUUGAUAUAUAUCUAUACUUACCGGUGUAUGAUACCAUUUUCGUGCAAAUAGGAGAUGGCCAGCACUGUGCACGCAGCAUAGAACCUGCAAAGAGAAAAUGACUCCCAUCAGUAGGUUAUUGAAUACAUAGCCAUUUAUUUGUUAGUGUAGCACAGGGUGGUGAUAUCUCAGUCUAAAUAUUACAGGCUCGCUGUGAUUUAAGAGACCCACUGACUAUAAUGGUAAGUUGUGUAUGCAGCUCCGAACUUAUUAAAAAUUUCUUAUGUAUUUCUAAAUAAAGCCUCUUGCAUUUGUGUAAUAUGGCUGCUUCCUUCGAUAAACAAGGAGCCAGAUCCAUAUGCUAUUUAUGGUUUUCAAACUUGUGUAGUUUUCCUCAGCACGUCCCUUGAGUUCCUUAUCCUGUGGGCUCACCCUCUCAGGUCACACAGUAAAGGCCAGAAAUUGAUCAAUUCCUACAAAACGAAGUAAGCCACAACAACCACAGAACUGUGCUGCUACUUUUUAUUCUAUGACAUGUUUCGGAUCACAUGGACCCUUUCUCAAGUGUGUGACUUGAGAAAGACACACUUGUGAAAGGGUCCAUGUGAUCCGAAACAUGUGGUGGAACAAAGAGUAGCAGCACAGUUCUGUGGUUGUUGUGGCCUGCUAUUUAUGGUUUAGUUUGUAUGAAUGGUAUUAUAUUUAAAUAGCGCCCACAUGACACUAGGUAAAGGUUCAUUAUUACGUACGUAGUCCUCCGUUGUCCAAAUUUACGUUCCCUCUCCAGGAGAGUCCUUAAGCAGCCUCCAGCGACAUACUCCAUGAGGAAGAAGAGAUGGUGGUCUGACUGGAAGGUGGCAUGUAGAUCCACGGUGAAGGGGUGGACAGCUGCUGUGAGAGCGACCCGUUUCUCGACCAAAAUCCUGAAUAUUAAAAGCAUUCAUUAUCAAAACAAGCCAGUAGAGAAAGUGUCAUUCUGCCCAUAGGAGCCACAUUAUUGUCUUAGAUUAUUUAGUAUAGUACUAAUGGGAGAUGUUAGUGGAAGUCCCAAGACACAUAACUAGUUAGGCAUUGCUUGCAUUAUCAGGGUAAUAUCAGAGCGCUACAGCUGUUUGAAAGGGACAUGGGUAAGUAAUAAAGCCAACUAGCCAAGUUGAUCAUUCCCAUAAACUGACCUUUCAACAUCCCUUAAGGUGGUGAUCUUCUGUUUUUUUAGGAUCUUCAGGGCAUACGAUCUUUUUGAUGCCGUGUGUUGCACAUGGAGAACCUGGAAUGAGAGAAUAUAUUGAGGGAAUUUUGAAGAAACACAGGAAGAUACAUGCAGAACCUCCAAACCCCUUGCAGAGAGCUCCAAGAAUCCAUCUUGCCCCCAACAUUGCAAGUUGCAGGUUGUACUGUAUCUUACUCUGGUUCCGUCGUCACAGCCGGUGGAAAGUCUUCUGCUGUGUUUUCUGGAUGAGUUGAGCCGAUGUUCACUUCAUCCGCAGACAUCUCACUAUAGGGAAAAUAAUCACUAAAACUGUUGGCCAAGCCCUCCAGCUCCAGUGAGGAGCAAAUCUGCUGGUGUCAGUAGCUGCUACUUCUCAAUCUCUCUCUGCGCUGAAAUGUCACCAGGCUCAAGAUUUUAUUCUCCACUGGAGUGUUUAUGUGGGAAUUGUUCAGCAAGAGUGAAAUUCCAUUUGAACAUUUUUUCAACUCAGAGGCUGUGGAUAAAAUCUCAGCUGGACUGAGGCUCUUCAGACCCAAGAUGUCUCCCGAAAGAGUGUACAUGCUGAUGAACAACUGCUGGUAAGAGUUUAUGGAAUGAAUUGACGCGCGACACAGUCCGGAACUGAUCAGUGCAAGGGAGCCGGAAUAUGUCAGUAAGAAGCAGAAGAAAAGAGAAGGAUAAAGCAGAAGGGAUAGAAUUGAGAUCAGAAGACAGAGGAAGACAUUUCCCUGGGACACUCUCAGGCUGCUUGCAACUGCCUGGUGGGGGAAUCAUUGGUCGUCAAGGUUUCAGAUUUCGGGAUGGCCAGGAGUGUUCGUGUAGGAAGUGUUCAGCAAGUGUGAAAUUCCAUUUGAACAUUGUUUUCAACUCUGAGGCUGUGGUCUCCUGAAAGAGUGUACAUGCUGAUGAACAACUGCUGGUAAGAGGCAACAAGCUGGGCAGUCAGAAAGGGGGGAACACGUGCGUCUGCUGAAUCCCUCACCUACGCCCAGCGAGGAUCCCCAAACUGGGUCUUCAUGGGACAAUUUCCUGCAGAGCCUCCAGCUGGUCCCACGUCGCAGAGGAUGGAUCUGGUGCCUGUAACCCCCCAGGUGCCACUGAUGGAUGCGGGUCAGGUGAAUCGCUACAUAAAACAGAACACAAAGCUAUCAGGCGGCCUCUAAGGACACGUUUGUGGGUUUCCCAAAGCAUCGCAGGGUUGAUUCCUGUUUUGUAGGCUGCAUUGGGUUUGCCAGUGGAUGUGUCCUGUAAAGGAUUUAUAGUGAUAUUCAUCUCGCCCCCGAUGAGCAACAGGCCCUCCGUGAAUGUCUUCAACCGGGAUUCUAUUUCGAGUAUCAGUACAUUGAAAAGCUCCACCCUGAUGUUAUCCACCGAUUCCCGCAGAAGGUUUUUAAUAUCCUCCUUCGUUGGUAAUGCUUUGAGAUGGGGAAAUCUUUCUGGGUGCGCCACAUCUUUCUGAUCUUAAGAAUAAGGGCAGGACUCCACAGACGUUUCCCGCCACGCUGCGCAAAAACACAGGCGUUACGUUGGAUGCAACGGAAAUA